UACGUAGGGUGCAAGCGUUAAUCGGAAUUACUGGGCGUAAAGCGUGCGCAGGCGGUCCGUUAAGACAGAUGUGAAAUCCCCGGGCUUAACCUGGGAACUGCAUUUGUGACUGCACGGCUAGAGUGUGUCAGAGGGGGGUAGAAUUCCACGUGUAGCAGUGAAAUGCGUAGAUAUGUGGAGGAAUACCGAUGGCGAAGGCAGCCCCCUGGGAUAACACUGACGCUCAUGCACGAAAGCGUGGGGAGCAAACAGG
rnacentral:rRNA from 1 species